rnacentral:rRNA from 1 species
AGCAGAACGCUGAAGGAGGAGCUUGCUUCUCCGGAUGAGUUGCGGACGGGUGAGUAACGCGUAGGUAACCUGCCUGGUAGCGGGGGAUAACUAUUGGAAACGAUAGCUAAUACCGCAUAACAGUAGAUAUUGCAUGAUAUCUGCUUAAAAGGUGCAAUUGCAUCACUACCAGAUGGACCUGCGUUGUAUUAGCUAGUUGGUGAGGUAACGGCUCACCAAGGCGACGAUACAUAGCCGACCUGAGAGGGUGAUCGGCCACACUGGGACUGAGACACGGCCCAGACUCCUACGGGAGGCAGCAGUAGGGAAUCUUCGGCAAUGGACGGAAGUCUGACCGAGCAACGCCGCGUGAGUGAAGAAGGUUUUCGGAUCGUAAAGCUCUGUUGUAAGAGAAGAACGAGUGUGAGAGUGGAAAGUUCACACUGUGACGGUAUCUUACCAGAAAGGGACGGCUAACUACGUGCCAGCAGCCGCGGUAAUGCGUAGGUCCCGAGCGUUGUCCGGAUUUAUUGGGCGUAAAGCGAGCGCAGGCGGUUAGAUAAGUCUGAAGUUAAAGGCUGUGGCUUAACCAUAGUACGCUUUGG